rnacentral:rRNA from 1 species
AUGGAUUGCGAAAGGGGCAUCUCGCCAGAGAACAUCGCCGACCUAUCCUACUACAAGCACGUGCUGCUCCUAGCGUACCAGAGCUGCGGCGUGGUGUACGGCGACCUGAGCACGUCGCCGCUGUACGUGUACAAGAGCACCUUCGCCGGCCCGGUCCGGCGGUUCGAGGACGAGGAGACCAUCUUCGGCGUCUUCUCGCUCGUGUUCUGGACCAUCACCCUCAUCCCGCUCCUCAAGUACGUCUUCAUCGUGCUCAGCGCCGACGACAACGGCGAGGGCGGCACCUUCGCGCUCUACUCGCUGCUGGUGCGGCACGCCAAGUUCAGCCUGAUGCCCAACCAGCAGGCCGCCGACGAGGAGCUCUCCGCCUACCACAAGCCGGGCUACGCGGCGCAGGACACGGCCAUGCUGCGCGCGCUCCGCCGCUUCCUCGAGAACCACAGCAAGUCGCGCACCUGCCUCCUCCUCACCGUCCUCUUCGGCGCCUCCCUCGUCAUCGGCGACGGCGUCCUCACCCCGGCCAUGUCCGUGAUGUCGUCGUUCUCGGGUCUGCAGGUCCAUUCACACGCGCUAACAAACGGUGAGGUGGUGAUCCUGUCGUGCAUUGUGCUGGUGUGCCUCUUCACGCUGCAGCACUGGGGGACGCACCGCGUCUCCUUCCUGUUCGCGCCGGUCAUCGUCACCUGGCUCCUCCUCCUGGGGGGCACCGGCGUCUACAACAUCAUCGUGUGGAAUCCCAGGGUGUUCUACGCGCUCUCUCCCACCUACCUCAUCAGGUUCUUCAUGAGGACCGGCAAAGAGGGCUGGAUUGCACUCGGAGGGGUGCUACUCUCCAUGACAGGCACAGAGGCUAUGUUUGCAGACCUUGGCCACUUCACAGCAACAUCCAUAAGGGUGGCCUUUGUGGGCCUGAUCUACCCAUGUUUGGUGCUGCAGUACAUGGGACAGGCGGCCUUCCUGUCCAAAACCCCCGAGUGCGAUAUCCACUUCAUCUUCUUCAAGUCCAUACCCGUGCGGUUGUUCUGGCCGGUGCUGGUGGUCGCGACGCUGGCUUCGAUCGUGGGCAGCCAGGCGGUGAUCACGGCCACCUUCUCCAUCGUGCGGCAGUGCAUGGCGCUUGGCUGCUUCCCGCGCGUGAAGAUCGUGCACACCUCCAGCCUCAUCCCGGGGCAGAUCUACAGUCCCGAGAUCAACUGGCUCCUCAUGCUCGUCUGCCUCAGCGUCACCGUCGGCUUCCGCGACACAAUGCUCAUCGGCAACGCAUACGGGAUGGCGUGCUCCGGCGUGAUGGUGGUCACCACGCUCCUCAUGACGCUGGUGAUCAUCUUCGUGUGGCAGCUGGGCUUCAUCAUGGCGACGCUCUUCCUGCUGGCCUUCGGCGUGGUGGAGGGGGUGUACCUGUCGGCGGCGCUGAUGAAGGUGCCGCAGGGCGGGUGGCUGCCGCUGGCGCUGUCACUCCUGUUCGUGGCCAUCAUGUACACGUGGCACUACGGCACUCGGCUGAAGCACUCGUUCGACGUGCAGAACAAGGUGUCCCUGCGGUGGAUCCACGCGCUGGGCCCCAGCCUGGGCAUCGUGCGCGUCCCCGGCAUCGGCCUCAUCUACAGCGAGCUGGCCAGCGGCGUGCCGGCCGUCUUCUCGCACUUCGUCACCAACCUGCCGGCGUUCCACCAGGUGCUGGUGUUCGUGUGCGUCAAGGCCGUGCCCAUCCCGCACGUGUGCCCCGAGGAGCGGCACCUGGUGGGCCGCAUCGGCCCGCGCGACUUCCACAUGUUCCGCUGCGUCGUCCGGUACGGCUACAAGGACCUGCUGGGCGAGGAGAGCGACUUCGAGAACGACCUGGUGCUCCGCAUCGCCGAGUUCGUGCACAUGGAGGCCGCCGAGGCUGCCGACAACCGCCCCAGCGACGGCGCCGCGUCGGCCGUGGAGGGCCGGAUGUCCGUGGUGAGGCGGCCCGGCGACCUGGCGCGGACGGGGCGGCUGCUGGUGCAGGAGCCGGCGGACGAGGAGAGCCUCGUGGUGCGCGCGGCCACGGCGGCCACGGAUGGCGACAAGUCGGACACGCUGGAGUCGCUGCAGGCCAUCUACGAGGCCGAGUCCCCGGGGGCGGCGUACGGCGGCCGGCGGCAGCGCGUGCGGUUCGAGCUCUCGGACCUGGCGGGCGAGCACGUGGACCCGGAGGUGAAGGCGGAGCUGGCCGCCAUCGUGGAGGCUAAGCACGCCGGCGUGGCCUACAUCAUGGGGCACUCGUACAUCAAGGCCAGGAAGAGCUCCAACGUGUUCAAGAAGUUCGCCAUCGACAUAGCCUACAACUUCCUCCGGAAGAACUCCAGGGGCCCCGCCGUGGCGCUCAACAUACCGCACAUCAGCCUCAUCGAAGUCGGCAUGAUCUACUACGUCUAG